UGAGUAACACGUGGGCAAUCUGCCCUGCACUUCGGGAUAAGCCUGGGAAACUGGGUCUAAUACCGAAUAGGACCACUUGGCGCAUGCCUUGUGGUGGAAAGCUUUUGCGGUGUGGGAUGGGCCCGCGGCCUAUCAGCUUGUUGGUGGGGUGAUGGCCUACCAAGGCGACGACGGGUAGCCGGCCUGAGAGGGUGUCCGGCCACACUGGGACUGAGAUACGGCCCAGACUCCUACGGGAGGCAGCAGUGGGGAAUAUUGCACAAUGGGCGCAAGCCUGAUGCAGCGACGCCGCGUGGGGGAUGACGGCCUUCGGGUUGUAAACCUCUUUCACCAUCGACGAAGGCUCACUUCGUGAGUUGACGGUAGGUGGAGAAGAAGCACCGGCCAACUACGUGCCAGCAGCCGCGGUAAUACGUAGGGUGCGAGCGUUGUCCGGAAUUACUGGGCGUAAAGAGCUCGUAGGUGGUUUGUCGCGUUGUUCGUGAAAUCUCACGGCUUAACUGUGAGCGUGCGGGCGAUACGGGCAGACUAGAGUACUGCAGGGGAGACUGGAAUUCCUGGUGUAGCGGUGGAAUGCGCAGAUAUCAGGAGGAACACCGGUGGCGAAGGCGGGUCUCUGGGCAGUAACUGACGCUGAGGAGCGAAAGCGUGGGGAGCGAACAGGAUUAGAUACCCUGGUAGUCCACGCCGUAAACGGUGGGUACUAGGUGUGGGUUUCCUUCCUUGGGAUCCGUGCCGUAGCUAACGCAUUAAGUACCCCGCCUGGGGAGUACGGCCGCAAGGCUAAAACUCAAAGGAAUUGACGGGGGCCCGCACAA
rnacentral:rRNA from 1 species